rnacentral:rRNA from 1 species
UACAGAGGUGGCAAGCGUUGUUCGGAAUUACUGGGCGUAAAGGGCGCGUAGGCGGUCGCGUAAGUCAGGUGUGAAAUCUCAGGGCUCAACCCUGAAACUGCACUUGAUACUGCGUGGCUCGGGUGCUGGAGAGGAGACUGGAAUUUACGGUGUAGCAGUGAAAUGCGUAGAUAUCGUAAGGAAGACCAGUGGCGAAGGCGAGUCUCUGGACAGUUACCGACGCUGAGGCACGAAGGUCAGGGGAGCAAACGGG